AUUGAACGCUGGCGGCAUGCCUAACACAUGCAAGUCGAGCGAGCGGCGGACGGGUGAGUAAUGUAUGGGGAUCUGCCCGAUAGAGGGGGCUAACUACUGGAAACGGUGGCUAAUACCGCAUACUAUCGGAUGAACCCAUGUGGGAUUAGGUAGUUGGGGAGGUAAAGGCUCACCAAGCCGACGAUCUCUAGCUGGUCUGAGAGGAUGACCAGCCACACUGGGACUGAGACACGGCCCAGACUCCUACGGGAGGCAGCAGUGGGGAAUAUUGCGCAAUGGGCGCAACCCUGACGCAGCCAUGCCGCGUGAAUGAAGAAGGCCUUCGGGUUGUAAAGUUCUUUCGGUAGCGAGGCGUUAUCUACAGAAGAAGCACCGGCUAACUCCGUGCCAGCAGCCGCGGUAAUAC
rnacentral:rRNA from 1 species